UACAAACAGUACACCCUGAACUCUCAGCCAUGCAGGUUUCCCUCUUUCUCGCCGUUUUCUGUGACGUCAUUGCUGUUAUCUACAGCGAGACCUGCAAGGAUGAGAAAGACUGUGAUAACGUGACCUGUGAUAGUUCCUCAAAGCUGGGCUGCUCUCAUGGAGAAUAUGCCUGCCUGGCUUCCGCCACAUCUGGUUCCUGCGCUCAAGUGACUCCAGUUUGAGAGAUAUGCGAAUGGUUUAACUGAAAAUGUAGAGACAGCCGUGCUUCACACCACUGCUACGAUGGGCACUGUCUCUGCGGACGAGGUGGAUUUGGACCUGGCAUUUGCAAAUAAACUUUGACGCAGAGGAUCAAUCGACUAUUUAUAGUUUUCGCACCAUUUUGUACUUAUGUGUUCUGAAAUGUAAUAAAAUAUACAAAAA